AUGACAAUUGAAGUCAAUUAACACAUCUGCUAUCAAAAGAAAUCAGAAACAAGUUAACCUUCCCGGAACAGAAAACAUGAAUGUUCCACUUUCCACUUUCAUGUAUUUAGCUGAACCAUGCAGCCACUAGCUAGUAGUCAUCUCUCCCUUUCUCUAGAAACGAACAUUGUCAUUGAUACUACAAUUGCUAAAAGUAUACUGCAUGCCAUUUAAAAGUUUGUAACU